rnacentral:rRNA from 1 species
UUAUGCGUUAAUAGCGUAUAGAUUUGACGUUAGCGACAGAAGAAGCACCGGCUAACUCCGUGCCAGCAGCCGCGGUAAUACGGAGGGUGCGAGCGUUAAUCGGAAUUACUGGGCGUAAAGCGCAUGCAGGUGGUUUGUUAAGUCAGAUGUGAAAGCCCGGGGCUCAACCUCGGAAUUGCAUUUGAAACUGGCAGACUAGAGUACUGUAGAGGGGGGUAGAAUUUCAGGUGUAGCGGUGAAAUGCGUAGAGAUCUGAAGGAAUACCGGUGGCGAAGGCGGCCCCCUGGACAGAUACUGACACUCAGAUGCGAAAGCGUGGGGAGCAAACAGGAUUAGAUACCCUGGUAGUCCACGCCGUAAACGAUGUCUACUUGGAGGUUGUGGCCUUGAGCCGUGGCUUUCGGAGCUAACGCGUUAAGUAGACCGCCUGGGGAGUACGGUCGCAAGAUUAAAACUCAAAUGAAU